rnacentral:rRNA from 1 species
GAUGAACGCUGGCGGCGUGCCUAAUACAUGCCAGUCGAGCGAACAGACGAGGAGCUUGCUCCUCUGACGUUAGCGGCGGACGGGUGAGUAACACGUGGAUAACCUACCUAUAAGACUGGGAUAACUUCGGGAAACCGGAGCUAAUACCGGAUAAUAUAUUGAACCGCAUGGUUCAAUAGUGAAAGACGGUUUUGCUGUCACUUAUAGAUGGAUCCGCGCCGCAUUAGCUAGUUGGUAAGGUAACGGCUUACCAAGGCAACGAUGCGUAGCCGACCUGAGAGGGUGAUCGGCCACACUGGAACUGAGACACGGUCCAGACUCCUACGGGAGGCAGCAGUAGGGAAUCUUCCGCAAUGGGCGAAAGCCUGACGGAGUAACGCCGCGUGAGUGAUGAAGGUCUUCGGAUCGUAAAACUCUGUUAUUAGGGAAGAACAAAUGUGUAAGUAACUAUGCACGUCUUGACGGUACCUAAUCAGAAAGCCACGGCUAACUACGUG